rnacentral:rRNA from 1 species
AUUGAACGCUGGCGGCAGGCCUAACACAUGCAAGUCGAACGAGUGGCGGACGGGUGAGUAAUGUCUGGGAAACUGCCUGAUGGAGGGGGAUAACUACUGGAAACGGUAGCUAAUACCGCAUACCAUCGGAUGUGCCCAGAUGGGAUUAGCUGGUAGGUGGGGUAACUGCUCACCUAGGCGACGAUCCCUAGCUGGUCUGAGAGGAUGACCGGCCAAGCUGGGACUGAGACACGGUCCAGACUCCUACGGGAGGCAGCAGGGGGGAAUAUUGCACAAUGGGCGCAAGCCUGAUGCAGCCAUGCCGCGUGUAUGAAGAAGGCCUUCGGGUUGGAAAGUACUUUCAGCGGGGAGGCGUUACCCGCAGAAGAAGCACCGGCUAACUCCGUGCCAGCAGCCGCGGUAAUUC